GACAGCGGUCAUAGGAGGAAGGAAACACCCAGUCCCUUUUCGAACCUGGAAGUUAAGCUUCCUUACGAUUGCUCGAGUACUGUUUUGUGAAACGGGAAAGACAAUUGCUGCUGUCA
rnacentral:rRNA from 1 species